AGCUUUGGAGUAGAAAAAUCAAUUUUGACAAAAAUCCGAGCCCCGAAUCCCGAAGCCCAUGAAGGGAAAAGUGUUGUACGCUGCGUUGUCUUCAAUUUGAGUUAAAAAUCAACCAAGGAGGGGGGUGAUAACUUGGUGGCCGAAUUCUUAAGAUUUCGGAGGAAACGGGAUUUGAGUUUGGACAAGCGUAAAAAGCAAAUAAGGUACACCCAGAUGAUGUGGAGUUAUUAUAGAGGAUGUUCCGGCAGAGUUGGCAAGCUCCAUUUGUUCCUGGGGUGCCACCGAGUCAGAGUUUGUAUGUGUGCUUCUUCUGGAUUGAUGUUAGAGACUUUGCAGACAGAGUCGUGGGUAUAGUAUGUCAGUUGUGUAAGCGGCUUCGUCAGCCGAUAUGCCAUCCUGUCUUAUGCAUUAAAUUCUAUAUGAUCACAGAUUCUGUUUGAUUUGGAAAAUAUCGAAAAGAAUAUUUUGAGAAGUUAUUAUGUAUUUUAUCUUUAUUUGAUUUUAAAAGUCUAACAAGAUUUUGUGUGUCCCGAAGGUCUGUGGGUUCGCUCGGCUCCGGAUGUGGGGCCGGGUGCC